ACGAGCUUCCGUUGAAUGACGUGCUUGCACUGAUUUCAACAAUGAAGCGAGUGGCGAACUGGUGAGUAACACGUGGGAAAUCUGCCCAGAAGCAGGGGAUAACACUUGGAAACAGGUGCUAAUACCGUAUAACAACAAAAUCCGCAUGGAUUUUGUUUGAAAGGUGGCUUCGGCUAUCACUUCUGGAUGAUCCCGCGGCGUAUUAGUUAGUUGGUGAGGUAAAGGCCCACCAAGACGAUGAUACGUAGCCGACCUGAGAGGGUAAUCGGCCACAUUGGGACUGAGACACGGCCCAAACUCCUACGGGAGGCAGCAGUAGGGAAUCUUCCACAAUGGACGAAAGUCUGAUGGAGCAAUGCCGCGUGAGUGAAGAAGGGUUUCGGCUCGUAAAACUCUGUUGUUAAAGAAGAACACCUUUGAGAGUAACUGUUCAAGGGUUGACGGUAUUUAACCAGAAAGCCACGGCUAACUACGUGCCAGCAGCCGCGGUAAUACGUAGGUGGCAAGCGUUGUCCGGAUUUAUUGGGCGUAAAGCGAGCGCAGGCGGUUUUUUAAGUCUGAUGUGAAAGCCUUCGGCUUAACCGGAGAAGUGCAUCGGAAACUGGGAGACUUGAGUGCAGAAGAGGACAGUGGAACUCCAUGUGUAGCGGUGGAAUGCGUAGAUAUAUGGAAGAACACCAGUGGCGAAGGCGGCUGUCUAGUCUGUAACUGACGCUGAGGCUCGAAAGCAUGGGUAGCGAACAGGAUUAGAUACCCUGGUAGUCCAUGCCGUAAACGAUGAGUGCUAAGUGUUGGAGGGUUUCCGCCCUUCAGUGCUGCAGCUAACGCAUUAAGCACUCCGCCUGGGGAGUACGACCGCAAGGUUGAAACUCAAAGGAAUUGACGGGGGCCCGCACAAGCGGUGGAGCAUGUGGUUUAAUUCGAAGCUACGCGAAGAACCUUACCAGG
rnacentral:rRNA from 1 species